GGUGCGGGUGAUGGAGGUGUGGGGCAGUAAUGCGCUGCUGCAAUGGGAGCCCCCGAAGGACGACGGCAACGCCGAAAUCAGCGGAUACACCGUGCAGAAGGCCGACACGCGCACCAUGGAGUGGUUCACAGUGUUGGAGCACAGCCGCCCCACGCGCUGCACGGUGUCGGAGUUGGUGAUGGGCAACGAGUAUCGGUUCCGCGUCUACAGCGAGAACGUCUGCGGGACGAGCC
rnacentral:misc_RNA from 1 species